CUCUGAGCUUAGUUUUUGUUUUUUUUUUAUAUUCCGCAUGUAAGUGAGAUUUGUCUUUCUCUGACUUAUUUCACUUAGCAUAAUGCCCUCCAGGUCCGUCCAUGUUGUUGAAAAUGGCAGGAUUUCGUUCUUUUUUAGGGCUGAAUAAUAUUCCAUUGUGUAUAUGCCACAAUUUCUUUAUCCAUUUAUCCAUCAGUGGACACUUAGGUUGUUUACAUAUCUUGGCUAUUGUGAAUAAUGCUGCAGUGAACAUGGGGGUGCAUAUAUCUUUUCAAUUAGUGUUUUCAUUUUCUUUGGAUAAAUACCCAGCAGUGGGAUAGCUGGAUCAUAUGGUAGAUCUAUUCUUAAUUUUGUGAGGACCUUCCAUACUGUUUUCCAUAGUGGCUGCACCAGUUUACAUUCCUACCAAUAGUGCACGAGGGUUCCCUUUUCUCCACAUCCUCUCCAACACUCGUCAUUUUUUGUCUUUUUGAUAAUAGCCAUUCUAACAGCUGCGAGGUGAUAUCUCAUUGUGCUUUUGAUUUGCAUCCCUGAUGUUUAGCGAUGUGGAGCAUCUUUUCCUGUACCUAUUGGCCAUCUGUAUGUCUUCUUUGGGAAAAUGUCUAUUCGGCUCUUCUGCCCAUUUUUUAAUCAGAUUGUUUGGUUUUUUUGCUAUUGAGUUGUACGAGUUCUUUAUAUAUUUUGGAUAUUAGCCCCUUAUCAGAUAUAUGAUUUGCAAAUAUUUUCUCCAUUCAGUAGGUUGCCUUUUCGUUUUGUUGGUGGUUUCCUUUGCUGUGAAGAAGCUUUUUAGUCUGAUGUAGUCCCACUUCUUUAUUUUUUCUUCUGUUGCCUUUGCUUUUGGAGUCAGAGCCAAAAAAUCACCGCCAAGGCUAAUGUCAAGGAGCUUACCGCCUAUGUUUUCCUCUAGGAGUUCUAUGAUUUCAGGUCUUACACUUAAGUCUUUAAUCCAUUUUGAGUUAAUUUUUGUGUAUGGCGUCAGAUAGGGAUUCAGGUUCAUUCUUUCGCAUGUGGCUGUCCAGUUUUCCCAGCACCAUUUCUUGAAGAGACUCUCCUUUCCCCAUUGUACAUUCUUGGAUCCUUUGUGGUAAGUUAAUUGACCAUAUAUGCAUGAGUUUAUUUCUGGGCUCUCUGUUCUGUUCCGUUGAUCUAUGUGUCUGUUUUUAUGCCAAUACCAUACUGUUUUGAUUAUUAUAGCUUUGUAAUGUACUUUGAAAUUAGGGAAUGUGAUGCCUCCAGCUUUGCUCUUCUUCUUUUUUUUUUUUAAAGAUUUUAUUUUUUUCCUUUUUCUCCCCAAAGCCUCCCAGUACAUAGUUGUAUAUUCUCGUUGUGGGUCCUUCUAGUUGUGGCAUGUGGGACGCCACCUCAGCGUGGUUUGAUGAGCAGUGCCAUGUCCGCACCCAGGAUUCGAACCAACGAAACACUGGGCCGCCAGCAGCGGAGCGUGCGAACUUAACCACUUGGCCACGGGGCCAGCCCCAUGGUCUUCUUUCUCAUGAUUGCUUUGUCUGUUUGGGGUCUUUUGUUGUUCCAUACAAAAAUUUAGGAUUAUCUGUUCUAUUUUUGUGAAAAAUACCAUUGGAAUUUUGAUAGCAAUUGCAUUGAACCUGUAGAUUACUUUGGGUAUUAUGAACAUUUUAACAAUAAUAAUUCUUCCAAUCCAUGAGAAUGGAAUAUCUUUCCAUUUAUUUGUAUCUUCUUUAAUUUCUUUCAUCAAUAUCUUAUAUGGUAUCAUUGAUUGCUAUUCUGAACUUGUCUGUGCAUAAGUUGAGAUACAACAAAUAACUAAUUGGAUAUUCUAAUUCAAUUAUUCCCUGCAUCCUUGGGAACCAGGAUUCCCAGUGUGGAAGAAAGGAGAUACAGAUGUAACAGAAGAGGUUAAGUAAAAACCCUCCGGUCCUCAAUUUGAACUGGAUGUAUCAGUAUAAACUCUCUGUGUAUUUUAUCAUGUAUGUAAUUUCUAGCUCUUCCCGCUGGAAAGACUUAGAAACAUUGAUCUACCCAGAAGCCAGGAGGAUUCCUAACAUCCCAAUGUGGUCUUCAAUAUUAUUCCCCACUAAAAGAAACCACAGCUUCCUGAAGAAAUGGCUGAUUCUAGUCUUGGGCGGGAAACACACAAGAUGAGCUUGAAACAUCUUGCCAAACCAGAUGGCAAGGAAGUAUUCAGACUACUAGGGACACAUCAAAAGGACUCGAGUUAAUCUGAAGAGGCUCCGACUGGCCAAAGAUGGGACAAUUUGAACAUCAAUAAUGAUACUAAUUUGGAAUGUAUUGAAAUUCGUCAAAUAUGUUUAAGUCCUUGACUUUUUCAUGGUACUUUUUUAAACCAAUUCAUCAUCUUUAGAGGAUAACAGGGUAGCAGUUCGUUCUCCUGAAAAUGGAUAAAUAAAUGAAAAGAGACAAGCGUCUACGCUGCCUUUCCUCCGUGAACUAACUGUUCCACUGGGCAACCAAAUAGUACAUGAAGGGCAGUGUCUCUUUACAAAAUUUAUCCAGCUGAUAAAUGAAAGAGAAAUGAUAGAAUUAGAAUAUUCCCAUUUUCCACCCCCCAAUGAAUUGACGAAAGUAAGCGUUGAACAUCAUCUCUGCCAACAUCUCAGAAAAGAGACACAGCCAGACAUCAUGUGCCCCUGGUGAGCUAGCACACUGACACCUACAGUCUCAUCAAAAAUCUUGAUCCUGGGGCCGGCCCACUGGCGCAGCGGUUAAGUUCGCAUGUGCCACUUCAGUGGCCCAGCGUUCGCCAGUUCGGAUCCCAGGUGCGGACACGGUACCGCUUACCACGCCAUGCUGUGGUAGGCAUCCCACAUAUAAAGUAGAGGAAGAUGGGCAGGGAUGUUAGCUCAGGGCCAGUCUUCCUCAGCCAAAAGAGGAGGAUUGGCAGUAGUUAGCUCAGGGCUAAUCUUCCUAAAAAACAAACAAACAAAAAAAACUUGAUCCUGAGUCUGAUCCAGCCUCUGGACCCAGUUGUCCACGUGCAGGAAAUGUGGAGAACAGAGGGAUGUGUUGAACUGCGCUGUGUGAAUGCAAUCUGCAAGGUCCAGACUCGAGAACUCGACAGGGUACAUGGCUCAGGUUCUUCCAGGAAUAUAAGGGAAAGAGAUGGAGACGGAACCUGCAGAUUAACAGAGACUUGCCAGACAUCAACAAAAUAAGCAAGACUAAUCUAUAGCGUCUAGAGAGGCACAUUUGGAUGAUUAAAAACUAUAAAGAAACUCGAGAGUAAUUACUGUUAAAGUCAGGACAGCGGGCACUUUUGGAAGGAGAGAAGUGGUUGAGAUCUGAAUGAGGCCCGGGGAGAGUAUUCUGGGGCGGCUGGAAAAGUACAGUUUCUUGGCCUGGAUGGUAGUUAUAAGGGUGUUGAUUUUAUAAUAAUUCACUAAGCUUCACAUUUGUUUUGCGUCGUUUUCUGUAUAUUGGACAUCUGAUUCAAAUCAAGACCUUGUAACUCCAACGCUCAAGGCUACUAUACAACCCGCAGAGGCGGAGGGGGCCGCUUGUCACUGCCGUGCUUGGGUAUGCGUCCCCGGCGACCGUGCAAGGGACUCACUGCAGGGGGUGCUGCAGGCACGCUGGGACCGAGGAAAGAAGUGCAAUUCCCAGACCUGGCUCCAGGGACGCCCAGAGGCCUCCCUCUCCCGUGCAACUCGAACUGGAGAGCCAGGGAGGAGGCGCGAGGACAGGAGCCCCCGUGGCCACCGUGUGCCGGGGCGCAGCGGCCGCAGAGCUGGCAGCCAACCCCGCCGGGCCAGCCAGGUUAUACUCUGAAAACAAGAGAGACCUCCAGCAUCUCCUUUUGGCCAGAUUUCUCCUCUCCAGCGUGCCCUGUAUAAGAAUUCUGGAACCCUUGACAUUUUGCCUGAGGAAAGCCACUUGAAUCCCAGUGAACAAACACAGCAGAGAAACUGAGUCUUAUUAGGAAGCACAAAAUGGCUCACAAGAGGAACAGGAAACCCGCUGACACAGUUGGGAGGAAUGUGUUUUGCUGAUGGAAUGGAGAUAAGUAGAACAGGAAGGCUGACUGCCUCCCAAAUUCGUUUGUUUAUUCAACAGGUACUUUUUGACUUUCUGCCACGUUGCAGGCGUUGUGCAAAGUUCUCCUCUAAGGAUCAGGCCGUCGGAUUUACCUCUCAGCACAGAACUAGCUUGAUCUUCCCCUUCGUGGGGACUCUGUUUCCCUCUGUACCUUCCUCCCUGUGUCACCUUCUUCUCUGUGGACCUUUUCUGUCUCAUGAGGUUAGCUGGCUUGGAUUCAACCUUGGCCCGUGAAUCUAUGAAUCUUUCCAGCUUAGGCUCUUUCUAAUAAACGUCUGUCUCAGUCAGCUAUAGCCAUGUAACAAUGUACACCAAAACUUAGUCACUUAGGACAACAGUCACCUUGUCAGUCAUGCGUCUGUGAGUCGGGCAUUGGAGUAGGGCGCAGUGGACAGUUUCUCCUCCUCAUGGUGUCAUCUGGGGCGGCUCAGCUAGGGCUGCCCUCUUCUUAGCAAUGCCAGCUCAUUAGGAAUUACUUCAACACAUCAUCUUCUUUUCCAUUGUGCUCUCCUAAAAACUUUCAGAUGAUGGCUGCCAUAGUUCCUAAAACCAACAUAAAUGAUGCUAAACCAGGGCCGGGAGCUUUGCACCAGCAUCAGGGGUCCUCUGUGUUUCUAAGAAGCCACGCAGAGAUGUUGUCCAUUCUACGCUUAGGAGACUAAGGCUGGUCUUAAAAUGUUUUAUUUUCUUUGUUUUAAGAAAGGAAGGAAAACUUCAUCUUGAGUAAACCCCAGGUUGGACAGUUAAGUCAGUCCCUUCUCUUCUCCCUGUCCCCCACUACAGCGUGAGUGAGGAUUUGUUGCUCGGGCUAGAUCUUCCUGAAACCAAAGCAUCAGUACAAAUGUAGGUGGAGCCAAACAACUAAAUGUCAAAGACGGCACAGAUAACAUACAUCAAUCACCCUUCCGACCCAGAAGACUAUUUCAGGAAACACCCACGCAGCUCAGACAGGAAAUCCCUGUGGCCUUCAGAGGCAACAGAUGCAGGGAGCAUGGCUGUCACAGGACAGGCUUGGAGAAGUGGGUCACAGCACUGCCUUAGCGCUUGUCUGCUCCCUGUGGUCCUGGCCUUCUCUAGGCCACAGCUCCCACGUCUAUCAGUGGGACACUUGAUGGUGAUGCACAAGGAUGCACAGAGAUUGUGCGCACAAAGCCCCUAGCACGGUACACAGCACCUGGCAGGUGCUCAGGAGAUGUUGGCCUCUACUGGUCCCAACUACUGGAGCAGCCCAGCCCUGCAGAGAGCUGGCCAUGUCUACUUUAUCAACCAUCAUGGAACCAGGCCCUGGUUCCUAGGGCCGUGCCCACUGGCAUUGCCCCCUGCAAAGGAGUUGUUCAUUUUUCUGCCACCCAGGGCCGUACACACCUGUGGCUCGCCCCAUUUGUACAUCACUGUCAAGUCGUUUUUACCAAGUAGAAGAUUUGAUUAAAACGCUGUCAUAUUGACUUGAUGUGUCGAAGAUAUCCACAUGCUCUAUCAUAAAUAACUCAACUUCCAGGCAAGUCCUAAAGUAAAUCUUUUUUUUUAAACUUCACACUGCCUUGACAAUUAUUUGAGUUGGUUUGUUCACGCCUUAUGAACUCUUCCAGCGUGGACCUGCACCCCCCAGAACUGAAACUUCAGCUCUUCUGGAAGUAUCUAAAAGUUGAAGGCUCUGCCAGGCCUAUCUUGGGGCUCAGCAAAAGUUAGCAGUUUAUAUUAAAACAUCCCUCAGAAUGGCAUCCUAGCUUGGAGAGGCAGGAUGAGGUUAAUAGUUGGGAAGAAAAACAGGUGCUUAAAAAAGAUGGUUUACUCUACUCCAUUUUGGUUUCUGUUGUGUGUGAUUUUGCUAUGUCACUUACUCCUAAAACCCUAAAAAUAAACGUUGUAUUUAAUAUUAGUCCACUUAAACUAUUUCUGGCUGGACACGGUAGAUUGUGCAGAAAUCCACGCUUGCCAUUUCAGAAACUGUUCGUUGAUCUAAAGGUUAAAGGCGGAAGUGGUUUCUGUAGGGUCCGGGAUAUAUAUAUAUAUACAUAUAUACUGACUGCUCAGUCCAGGUGAGCUCUGUUUAUGAAAAUACGCUUCGUUUUCCCCUCUGAUGACAGCAACAGAAAACAGAAAAAUUUGGAGUAGCAACGCGUGCUCAAGUAAUGUCUGAUUCUUAUUGUUUUAUUUUCCACACUAUGUUCUACAGCUAGAGUCCUGACGACUAUAGCACUGAAACCCUGAAAGUUUAUCUUUUAUUAUUUCAGUUUAGUCACCCAAAAUUACUUGAUGCUUCAGGUGGCCAGUCAUGCAAGAAUUCACGCUUGAGUACUUCAGAGACUGUCCCAUGGUCUAAAGGUUCAACUCAGGAUGUGGUUUCCACUCUGAAACAGGUCCCAGCUGCCACUCACUUUACUUUUAUAAUUUAUUUUAUCUCUUUCAAAGUUACAUGCACCUUAAAAAGUCAAAAGUUGUACAAUGGGAAAGCUCACCAUGAAAAGCAGCGGCUCCCUUGCCUCUUCUCUGAAGCACCCCGCUCACCAUUGCCCAGAAGCCCCCACUUCUAGCUCCUUCAGUGUUUCUUCUGCCUGUUACCUCUAUAUUUCUGAACAAUAUGCUUAUACUGCUAUUUCUGGAUUUUUCCAUUGCCUGGCUACCCUGGAAGGCUAAGAUUUCCCUCUGCUAUCUCCUCCCCACCCCACAUACUUAGCUUCCCAACAGAGCUGUAUCACAAGUCUUGGUGAAAUCACUAUUUAGUAUUAAAUAUUCGUUAUUACAACUAUGUAUAUACUGUACCAUGAUGCCAUUUCUAGUGCAACUUUCUGUUACCACUAAGUUAAUAAUUUGCUGAUUUUUCUCAGUACCUAUCCCUAAUUCAUCCUAAAUUGCCAACUGACGUGGAAAUUGCUUCUCAAAACAUUCAAACCCAUAAGGACGCCUCUCAGCUUCAUUUUGUCUUGCCUCUCUCCCUCCUGGGGUCCUCCUGCUUCUAAUUACUGUCUUCCUUAGAACUUUUGAUGGUUUCUUUCUUGCUAUAAGAAAUCGGAAUUUAUUUUAGAAAUUGGUAGAGAUAAAAAUAAAAAGGUAUUUUAGGCUAGUUUCCUCAGGACCCUGAGCAUUCAGACAUGAGUAAAUCCUGCUUCCUGCCCCAGCAAACUCGGCCUGGACAGGAAAACCUACAAAACAGAAAGAUGCGAGGACACUUACAGACGCUGGGGAUACGAUAAGAGGUCACCCCAGGGAGGACAGCAUGGGGUGCUGGGACCCUGCCUGCCUGCCUUUGGAAUCAGGCAGACCCAGGUUUGAAUCCUGAUUCUGCCCCUUGUGGGACCUCAGCAGCCAACCUAACCCCCAGGACGUCAGUUUAUUUCUCUGUGAAAUACAGAUUCCACUCACCCUUCAGGACGGUGCAUAGAGCAUAUGAGAGAAGAGGGGAGAGCUCUUACACCACGCUAGACCCUUGAAAUGACAGUGCCCUUCCGACUCAACUGCCACAGUGACAGAAGCACUCUCCAAAUACAAUCCUAAGGCCACUUACCUUAGGAUUUGUGCCACUCGUAUGGCAAAUGUCUUCCAAAAAAUCACCGUCAAUUUUUUGUACUUUUACAGUUUUGUAACUAUGGGGGUAAAAAGUUCAAUUUUACUGGAAGGUAAUAACUUCAUUCCAGUUCGUGCCCAUCUCAGAGCUCGACUCAAGUCCUGCAUGGCAGAAACUCCUCAUAGCGGUUGUGAGAAGCAACGCCCCAGUGAAAAUUCUGAUGUUUCGUAUUGUAAGAGAAGGAUAUGCUUUCAUUCAGCCAUCACUUGGUAAUACUUGAAAGCUAAAGGGACAGUUUGAAAAGGGUGACAACCUCAGCUGGGCUCUUCACCACCUGAGGGGCUCAGGCUGCUCACCCUCCUGCUUUUCCUCCCAAAGUCUUGACUGUUUGUCAGCAGAGGAUGGUCACGUUCUCGUCACAUCUUUGCACGGAGUCAUUUUGAGUCACCUCCCAGCUCCUGAAGUUUUAAAACACUUUGAACGCCUUCAACGGUUUGGAAAUCGAUCCUGUUUUCAGUGGUAUUCGCUCUUUCCCAGGGUGGUUUUAGCGGCUCAAGACAUUCAGUAAAAGGAGCUGAGAACCAUUCCCAAGUUUGCAUUAAUCUAUUCAAAUGAUGCUUGUUGAAAUAUGCACUGCCUGUUAACCUCUCAAGAGCUCCUAGUUACAGAUAGCAUGUUAAUUAUAUUCUCCACCUGCCACUGACAAUAUAUAAGGAUAAUCUGCUCCCACAAAGGUCGUUUCCACUGAGCUAUUAGGACUUUAUUAACUAAGUUAAGCGUGGUUUGCUGGGACACUGUUGAAUGUAACCAGAUCAUUAUUUGUGCAGCUCGAUAUGUAGCACCCUCUGCAGACAGCUACGGAGUAGCAAUGCCAGUAAUACCAACUGUGUCUUCAUUUGAUUUUCUGUCCUUUUAAAUUUAUGGAAUGAAUAAAUAUGUUCUAUUUGUAAACCCAAACUAGGGGCCAGCCUGGUGGCAUAGUGGUUAAGUUCACACAUUCCGCUUCGGCAGCCCAGGGUUCGCAGGUUCAGAUCCCGGGCGGGGACCUACACACCGCUUAUCAAGCCAUGCAGUGGUGGCAUCCCACAUACAAAGUAGAGGAAGACUGGCACAGGUGGUAGCUCAGCAACAAUCUUCCUCACCAAACAAAACAACCAAAUCAAUACAGAUUAAAUCAAGUUUGCCUUGACAUCUCCCCUCAUCUCAUCUUCCCCCAGAAAUAAUCAUUGUCAUCAGUUUGUAUGUAGCCUUUCGGAAUUUUGCUAUCUAUGCACUCACAAGCAUAUGUAGAUAUUAUGUAAAUAUAUACUUUAGCUGAUUAGGAUACACUGUACAUAUUAUUAUGCAACGUAAAUUUCCACCUUAACAAUGUGACUUGGAGCUCUUGUCAGUACAAGAACAAUGUCUGACAUUUCAGCAGGUCUCCUGCCCGAGCACAUCCAGGUAGUCCAAUCUUCCACUAUUCUGAUGCUGCAGAACAUAUUCAUAUUCACUCUUUUUGCACAAGGCAAGUGUUUUCUCCAGUGGCUUGCCAGAAGUGAAAUUUCUGGGCUCAAGAUACACAUCUUUAAAGUUUCAAUAGACGCCGUUAAAUUGACCUCUAAAAGGGCUGUAACAUUUUAUACUCACACUCACAGUACAUGGAUGUGUACCUGUGGACCGACAUCCUUACAAAACUGAUAGCAAUCUUUUAAGUUUUUGUGAUGUGUGAAAAUUACUGUAGGUCAUUCAUUGUAAAAAUAUUGAUUGGGUUCCUGCUCUGUAGCAGCCACUGUCCUGAGCACUGGAAUUUGGUAGUAAUGAGAGACAAGGCCUUGCCUUCAGGGACCUUGCAUGCUUGUGGGGGAGAGAGAUGAUAAACAUAAAUCAUAAAAAUAUGGUACCUGGCAGUGAGGAAAGAUGGUGAGAAGUAGUUGGAUUCUGGGCAUGUUUGAAGAUGGAGACGAGAGGAUGAUGGAUGAAUUCAAUGUAAAGGCAAGUGGACCGGGUCACAGUCAUUCCAAGUGUGGAG
ensembl:lncRNA